rnacentral:lncRNA from 1 species
CUAUAUUUUGACACUAGUCGUCACUUAGGGAUUUAAAGAGUGCAUUGCAACCCCUAAGUCUAAAAAACCAAGACUUUCAAAAGUUUCCAAAUCUUGGCACCAAACGCCAACUUAGUCCAGUCUCACCACCAAACAUAGCUNAAAAACCAAGACUUUCAAAAGUUUCCAAAUCUUGGCACCAAACGCCAACUUAGUCCAGUCUCACCACCAAACAUAGCUAGCUUGAAAAGCAACUAAAUUGGAACAUUUCUUGCACCUAUAUUUUGACACUAGUCGUCACUUGGGGAUUUAAAGAGUGCAUUGCAGCCCCUAAGUCUAAAAAACCAAGACUAUCAAAAAUUUCAAAAUCUUGGCACCAAGCACCAACUUAGUCCCCUCUCACCACCAAACAUAGCCAGCUUGAAAAGCAACUAAAUUGAAUUGCACCUAUACUUUGAAACUAGUCAUCAUUUGGGGAUUUCAAUAGUGCAUUGCUGCCCCUAAUUCUAAAAAAAAGACUUUCAAAAAUUUCCAAAUCUUGGCACCAAGCACCAACUUAGUCCAGUCUCACCACAAAACGUAUCUUGCAUGAAAAGCAACUAAAUUGAAACAUUUCUUGCACAUAUAUUUUGACACUAGUCGUCAUUUGGGGAUUUAAAGAGUGCAAUGCAGCCCUUAAGUCUAAAAAACCCAGACUAUAAAAAAUUUCCAAAUCUUGGCACCAAGCACGAACUUCGUCCAGUCUCACCACCAAACAUACCUUGCUUGAAAAUAAACAAAAUUGAAACAGUUUUUGCACCUAUAUUUUGACACUACUCGUCAUUUGGGGAUUUAAAGAGUGCAUUGCAACCCCUAAGUCUAAAAAACUAACACUUUCAAAAAUUUCCAAAUCUUGACACCAAACACCAACUUAGUAUAGUCUCACCACCAAACAUUGCUUGCUUGAAUAGCAAGCAAAUUGAAACAAUUCUUGCACCUACACUUUGACACUAGUUGUCAUUUCGGGAUUUAAAGAGGGCAUUGCAGCCCCUAAGUCUAAAAAACCAAGACUUUAAAAAAUUUCCAAAUCUUGGCACAUAGCACCAACUUAGUACAGUCUCACCACCAAACAUAGCUUGCUUGAAAAGAACCUAAAUGGAAACAUUUCUUGCACCUAUAUUUUGACACUAAUUAUCAUUUGGGUAUUUAUAGAGUGCAUUGCUACCCCUAAGUCUAAAAAACCAAGACUUUCAAAAGUUUCCAAAUCUUGGCACCAAACGCCAACUUAGUCCAGUCUUACCACCAAACAUAGCUAGCUUGAAAAGCAACUAAAUCGGAACAUUUCUUGCACCUAUAUUUUGACACUAGUCGUCACUUGGGGAUUUAAAGAGUGCAUUGCAGCCCCUAAGUCUAAAAAACCAAGACUUUAGAAAAUUUCCAAAUCUUGGCACGAAGCACCAACUUAUUUCAGUAUCACUACCAAACAUAGCUUGCUUGAAAAGCAACUAAAUUCAAACAUUUCUUGCACCUAUAUUUUGACACUAGUCGUCAUUUCGGUAUUUAAAGAGUGCAAUGCAGCCCCUAAGUCUAAAAAACCAAGACUAUCAAAAAUUUCAAAAUCUUGGCACAAAGCACCAACUUAGUCCACUCUCACCACCAAACAUAGCCAGCUUGAAAAGCAACUAAAUUGAAACAUUUCUUGCACCUAUACUUUGAAACUAGUCAUCAUUUGGGGAUUUAAAUAGUGCAUUGCUGCGGCUAUGACUAAAAAACAAGACUUUCAAAAAUUUCCAAAUCUUGGCACCAAGCACCAACUUAGUCCAGUCUCACCACAAAACGUAGCUUGCUUUAAAAGCAACUAAAUUGAAACAUUUCUUGCACAUAUAUUUUGACACUGGUCGUCAUUUGGGGAUUUAAAGAGUGCAAUGCAGCCCCUAAGUCUAGAGAACCCAGACUAUAAAAAAUUUCCAAAUCUUGGCACCAAGCAUGAACUUCGUCCAGUCUCAUCACCAAACAUACCUUGCUUGAAAAGUAACAAAAUUGAAACAGUUUUUGCACCUAUAUGUUGACACUACUGGUCAUUUUGGGAUUUAAAGAGUGCAUUGCAGCCCCUAAGUCUAAAAAACUAACACUUUCAAAAAUUUCCAAAUCUUGACACCAAGCACGAACUUAGUACAGGCUAACUACCAAACAUAGCUUGCUUGAAAAGUAACUAAAUGGAAACAUUUCUUGCACCUAUAUUUUGACACUAGUCGUCAUUUCGGGAUUAAAAGAGUGCAAUGCAGCCUGUAAGUCUAAAAAACCAAGACUAUCAAAAAUUUCAAAAUCUUGGCACCAAGCACCAACUUAGUCCACUCUCACCACCUAACAUAGCCAGCUCGAAAAGCAACUAAAUUGAAACAUAUUUUUACCUAUACUUUGAAACUAGUCAUCAUUUGGGGAUUUAAAUAGUGCAUUGCUGCCCCUAAGUCUAAAAAACAAGACUCUCAAAAAUUUCCAAAUCUUGGCACCAAGCACCUACUUAGUACAGUCUCACCAAAAAACGUAGCUUGCUUGAAAAGCACCUAAAUUGAAACAUUUCUUGCACAUAUAUUUUGACACUAGUUUUCAUUUGGGGAUUUAAAGAGUGCAAUGCAGCCCCUAAGUUUAAAAAACCCGACUAUUAAAAAUUUCCAAAUCUUGGCACCAAGCACGAACUUCGUCCAAUUUCACAACCAAACAUACCUUGCUUGAAAAGUAACAAAAUUGAAACAGUUUUUGCACCUAUAUUUUGACACUACUCGUCAUUUUGGGAUUUAAAGAGUGCAUUGCAGCCCCUAAGUCUAAAAAACUAACACUUUCAAAAAUUUCCAAAUCUUGACACCAAACACCAACUUAGUACAGGCUAAGCACCAAACAUAGCUUGCUUGAAAAGAAACCAAAUUGAAACAUUUCUUGCACCGACAUUUUGUCUCUAGUCGUCAUUUGGGGAUUUAAAGAGGCUAUUGCAUCCCCUAAGUGUAAAAAACCAAGACUUUAAAAAAUUUCAAAAUCUUGGCACCAAGCAUCAACUUAGUGAAGUCUCACCACCAAACAUAGCUUGCUUGAAAAGCAACUAAAUGGAAACAUUUCUUGCACCUAUAUUUUGACACUAAUUAUCAUUUGGGCAUUUAUAGAGUGCAUUGCUACUCCUAAGUCUAAAAAACCAAGACUUUCAAAAGUUUCCAUAUCUUGGCACCAAAAGCCAACUUAGUCCAGUCUCACCACCAAACAUAGCUAGCUUGAAAAGCAACUAAAUUGAAACAUUUCUUGCACCUAUAUUUUAACACUAGUUGUCAUUUGGGGAUUUGAAGAGGGCACUGCAGCCCCUAAGUUUAAAAAACCAAGACUUUAGAAAAUUUCCAAAUCUUGGCACGAAGCACCAAACAUAGCUUCCUUGAAAAGCAACUAAAUUCAAACAUUUCUUGCACCUAUAUUUUGACACUAGUCGUCAUUUCGGGAUUAAAAGAGUGCAAUGCAGCCUCUAAGUCNCUUGAAAAGCAACUAAAUUCAAACAUUUCUUGCACCUAUAUUUUGACACUAGUCGUCAUUUCGGGAUUAAAAGAGUGCAAUGCAGCCUCUAAGUCUAAAAAACCAAGACUAUCAAAAAUUUCAAAAUCUUGGCACCAAGCACCAACUUAGUCUACUCUCACCACCAAACAUAGCCAGCUCAAAAAGCAACUAAAUUGAAACAUUUCUUUUACCUAUACUUUGAAACUAGUCAUCAUUUUGGGAUUUAAAUAAUGCAUUGCUACCCGUAAGUCUAAAAAACAAGACUUUCAAAAAUUUCCAAAUCUUGGCACCAAGCACCAACUUAGUCCGGUCUCACCACAAAACGUAGCUUGCAUGAAAAGCACCAACUUAGUCCAGUCUCACCACAAAACGUGGCUUGCUCGAAAAUCAACUAAAUUGAAACAUUUCUUGCACCUAUACUUUGGAAUUAGUAAUCAUUUGGGGAUUUAAAGAGUGCAUUGCUGCCCCUAAGUCUAAAAAACCCAGACUAUCAAAAAUUUCCAAAUCUUGGCACCAAGCACGAACUUCGUCCAGUCUCACCACCAAACAUACCUUGCUUGAAAAGUAAGAAAAUUGAAACAGUUUUUGCACCUAUAUUGUCUUUUGGGGAUUUAAAGAGUGCAUUGCAACCCCUAAGUCUAAAAAACUAAAACUUUCAAAAAUUUCCAAAUCUUGAACCAAGCACCAACUUAGUACAGUCUCACCACCAAAAAUAGCUUGCUUGAAAAGCAACCAAAUUGAAACCUUUCUUGCACCUACAUUUUGACACUAGUCGUCAUUUGGGGAUUUAAAGAGGGCGUUGCAGCCCCUAAGUCUAAAAAACAUAGACUUUAAAAAAUUUCCAAAUCUUGGCACCAAGCACCAACUUAGUACAGUCUCACCACCAAACAUAACUUGCUUGAAAAGCAAGUAAGUGGAAACAUUUCUUGCACCUAUAUUUUGACACUAAUUAUCAUUUAGGCAUUUAUAGAGUGCAUUGCUACCCCUAAGUCUAAAAAACCAUGACUUUCAAAAGUUUCCCAAUCUUGGCACCAAACGCCAACUUAGUCCAGUCUCACCACCAAACAUAGCUAGCUUGAAAACCAACUAAAUUGAAACAUUUCCUGCACCUAUAUUUUGACACUAGUCGUCACUUAGGGAUUUAAAGAGUGCAUUGCAGCCCCUAGGUCUAAAAAACCAAGACCAAAAGUUUCCAAAUCUUGGCACCAAGCACCAACUUAGUAUAGUCUCACCAAAAAAUAUAGCUUGCUUGAAAAGGAACUAAAUGGAAACAUUUCUUGCACCUAUAUUUUGACACUAAUUAUCAUUUGGGCAUUUAUAGAGUGCAUUGCUGCCGCCAAGUCUAAAAAAAUAGACUUUCAAAAAUUUCCAAAUCUUGGCACCAAGCACCAACUUAGUCCAGUCUCACCACAAAACGUAGCUUGGUUGAAAAGCAACUAAAUUGAAACAUUUCUUCCACAUAUAUUUUGACACUGGUCGUCAUUUGGGGAUUUAAAGAGUGCAAUGCAGCCCCUAAGUCUAGAAAACCCAGACUAGAAAAAAUUUUCAAAUUUUGGCACCAAGCACGAACUUCGUCCAGUCUCACCACCAAACAUACCUUGCUUGAAAAGUAACAAAAUUGAAACAGUUUUUGCAGCUAUAUGUUGACACUACUCGUCAUUUUGGGAUUUAAAGAGUGCAUUGCAGCCCCUAAGUCUAAAAAACUAACACUUUC